GGGGGUAUAGCUCAGUGGUAGAUCAUUCGACUGCAGAUCAAGAGGUCUGUUGUUCAAAUCCGCGUGCCCCUA
rnacentral:tRNA from 1 species